rnacentral:lncRNA from 1 species
ACACAGGUUUUUAUUGCAUGGUGUUUAAUUAAUUUCUUUGCUUUCAGAACAUGUUACAAGAUGUGUAAAGACCAAAAAAUUUGUCAGCCUUCAUAUAAAAAGCAACUCAAUGUCUAUCUACCUGCUUUCAAGAACCUAGGAGCCAUAAAUGAAGAGGAAGUGAAGGACAACAUGCCCACGACUGGAAGGACACCCCAUCUGCCAUCCCAGCACCUGCCUUCUGGCAGAAUCCCCAGGACCUUUACCUUGAGAGGCCAAAAUAUCUGACAGAGACAAG